GACGAACGCUGGCGGCGUGCUUAACACAUGCAAGUCGAACGGAAAGGCCCUGCUUUUGUGGGGUGCUCGAGUGGCGAACGGGUGAGUAACACGUGAGUAACCUGCCCUUGACUUUGGGAUAACUUCAGGAAACUGGGGCUAAUACCGGAUAGGAGCUCCUGCUGCAUGGUGGGGGUUGGAAAGUUUCGGCGGUUGGGGAUGGACUCGCGGCUUAUCAGCUUGUUGGUGGGGUAGUGGCUUACUAAGGCUUUGACGGGUAGCCGGCCUGAGAGGGUGACCGGCCACAUUGGGACUGAGAUACGGCCCAGACUCCUACGGGAGGCAGCAGUGGGGAAUAUUGCACAAUGGGUGGAAGCCUGAUGCAGCAACGCCGUGUGCGGGAUGACGGCCUUCGGGUUGUAAACCGCUUUCGCUCAUGACGAAGCUUUGUGUGACGGUAGUGGGUAAAGAAGCACCGGCUAACUACGUG
rnacentral:rRNA from 1 species